GCUGGGCGUGGUGGCGGGCGCCUGUAAUCUCAGCUACUCAGGAGGCUGAGGCAGGAGAAUUGCUUGAACCCAGGAGGUGGGGGUUGCAGUGAGCCGAGAUCGCACCACUGCACUCCAGCCUGGGCGACAGAGCAAGACUCUGUCUCAA
rnacentral:SRP_RNA from 1 species